AAUUGCAGGCUGCAACUCGCCUGCAUGAAGUCGGAAUUGCUAGUAAUCGCAGAUCAGCAUGCUGCGGUGAAUACGUUCCCGGGCCUUGUACACACCGCCCGUCACACCAUGGGAGUCGGUAACACCCGAAGUCGGUAGCCUAACCGUAAGGAGGGCGCCGCCGAAGGUGGGAUUGAUGACUGGGGUGAAGUCGUAACAAGGUACC
rnacentral:rRNA from 1 species